rnacentral:rRNA from 1 species
AACGAACGCUGGCGGCAGGCCUAACACAUGCAAGUCAAACGGGUGUAGCAAUACACUAGUGGCGCACGGGUGAGUAACACGUGGGAAUCUACCUUUCAGUAAGGAAUAACAGCGGGAAACUGCUGCUAAUGCCUUAUGGUCCCUUCGGGGUAAAGAUUUAUCGCUGAAAGAUGAGCCCGCGUAAGAUUAGCUAGUUGGUGGGGUAAAAGCCUACCAAGGCUACGAUCUUUAGCUGGUCUUAGAGGACGAUCAGCCACACUGGAACUGAGACACGGUCCAGACUCCUACGGGAGGCAGCAGUGGGGAAUAUUGGACAAUGGGGGAAACCCUGAUCCAGCCAUGCCGCGUGAGUGAUGAAGGCCUUCGGGUUGUAAAGCUCUUUAGGGUGGGACGAUAAUGACGGUACCACCAGAAUAAGCCCCGGCUAACUUCGUGCCAGCCGCCGCAGUAA